rnacentral:rRNA from 1 species
UGCAGUCGAACGAUGAAGCCCAGCUUGCUGGGUGGAUUAGUGGCGAACGGGUGAGUAACACGUGAGUAACCUGCCCUUAACUCUGGGAUAAGCCUGGGAAACUGGGUCUAAUACCGGAUAGGAGCGUCCACCGCAUGGUGGGUGUUGGAAAGAUUUAUCGGUUUUGGAUGGACUCGCGGCCUAUCAGCUUGUUGGUGAGGUAAUGGCUCACCAAGGCGACGACGGGUAGCCGGCCUGAGAGGGUGACCGGCCACACUGGGACUGAGACACGGCCCAGACUCCUACGGGAGGCAGCAGUGGGGAAUAUUGCACAAUGGGCGCAAGCCUGAUGCAGCGACGCCGCGUGAGGGAUGACGGCCUUCGGGUUGUAAACCUCUUUCAGUAGGGAAGAAGCGAAAGUGACGGUACCUGCAGAAGAAGCACCGGCUAACUACGUGCCAGCAGCCGCGGUAAUACGUAGGGUGCGAGCGUUAUCCGGAAUUAUUGGGCGUAAAGAGCUCGUAGGCGGUUUGUCGCGUCUGUCGUGAAAGUCCGGGGCUUAACCCCGGAUCUGCGGUGGGUACGGGCAGACUAGAGUGCAGUAGGGGAGACUGGAAUUCCUGGUGUAGCGGUGGAAUGCGCAGAUAUCAGGAGGAACACCGAUGGCGAAGGCAGGUCUCUGGGCUGUAACUGACGCUGAGGAGCGAAAGCAUGGGGAGCGAACAGGAUUAGAUACCCUGGUAGUCCAUGCCGUAAACGUUGGGCACUAGGUGUGGGGACCAUUCCACGGUUUCCGCGCCGCAGCUAACGCAUUAAGUGCCCCGCCUGGGGAGUACGGCCGCAAGGCUAAAACUCAAAGGAAUUGACGGGGGCCCGCACAAGCGGCGGAGCAUGCGGAUUAAUUCGAUGCAACGCGAAGAACCUUACCAAGGCUUGACAUGUUCUCGAUCGCCGUAGAGAUACGGUUUCCCCUUUGGGGCGGGUUCACAGGUGGUGCAUGGUUGUCGUCAGCUCGUGUCGUGAGAUGUUGGGUUAAGUCCCGCAACGAGCGCAACCCUCGUUCCAUGUUGCCAGCACGUAAUGGUGGGGACUCAUGGGAGACUGCCGGGGUCAACUCGGAGGAAGGUGAGGACGACGUCAAAUCAUCAUGCCCCUUAUGUCUUGGGCUUCACGCAUGCUACAAUGGCCGGUACAAUGGGUUGCGAUACUGUGAGGUGGAGCUAAUCCCAAAAAGCCGGUCUCAGUUCGGAUUGGGGUCUGCAACUCGACCCCAUGAAGUCGGAGUCGCUAGUAAUCGCAGAUCAGC